GUUCGGGGGCUUUACCAUGCAAGUCGACGGUGAUGUCCCAGCUUGCUGGGAUGGAUCAGUGGCGAACGGGUGAGUAACACGUGAGCAACCUGCCCUCCACUUCGGGAUAAGCCUUGGAAACGGGGUCUAAUACCGGAUAUGAGCUUCCGUCGCAUGGCGGGGGUUGGAAAGUUUUUCGGUGGGGGAUGGGCUCGCGGCCUAUCAGCUUGUUGGUGGGGUGAUGGCCUACCAAGGCGUCGACGGGUAGCCGGCCUGAGAGGGCGACCGGCCACACUGGGACUGAGACACGGCCCAGACUCCUACGGGAGGCAGCAGUGGGGAAUAUUGCACAAUGGGCGAAAGCCUGAUGCAGCGACGCCGCGUGAGGGAUGACGGCCUUCGGGUUGUAAACCUCUUUCAGCAGGGAAGAAGCGCAAGUGACGGUACCUGCAGAAGAAGCGCCGGCUAACUACGUGCCAGCAGCCGCGGUAAUACGUAGGGCGCAAGCGUUGUCCGGAAUUAUUGGGCGUAAAGAGCUCGUAGGCGGUCUGUCGCGUCUGGUGUGAAAUCCCGAGGCUCAACCUCGGGCUUGCAUCGGGUACGGGCAGACUAGAGUGCGGUAGGGGAGACUGGAAUUCCUGGUGUAGCGGUGGAAUGCGCAGAUAUCAGGAGGAACACCGAUGGCGAAGGCAGGUCUCUGGGCCGCAACUGACGCUGAGGAGCGAAAGCAUGGGGAGCGAACAGGAUUAGAUACCCUGGUAGUCCAUGCCGUAAACGUUGGGCACUAGGUGUGGGGCUCAUUCCACGAGUUCCGUGCCGCAGCUAACGCAUUAAGUGCCCCGCCUGGGGAGUACGGCCGCAAGGCUAAAACUCAAAGGAAUUGACGGGGGCCCGCACAAGCGGCGGAGCAUGCGGAUUAAUUCGAUGCAACGCGAAGAAACCUUACCAAGGCUUGACAUGUACGAGAAUACGCUAGAGAUAGCGGACUCUUUUGGACACUCGUAUACAGGUGGUGCAUGGUUGUCGUCAGCUUCGUGUCGUGAGAUGUUUGGUUAAGUCCCCGCAACGAGCGCAACCCUCGUCCUUAUUGUUGCCAGCGGGUUUAUUGCCGGGACUCAUGGGAGACUGCCCGGGGUCACUCGAGAGGUGGGAUGACGUCAAUCAUCAUGCCCCUUUAUGUUCUUUGGGCUUCACGCCAUGGCUACAAUGGGCGGGU
rnacentral:rRNA from 1 species